UCCUCCGUGGCGCAAUUGGCUAGCGCGUUCGACUGUUAAUGCCACCUAUUUAUUAGCAAAUCGAGAGGUUGAAAGUUCGAGCCUUUCCGGGGGAG